rnacentral:rRNA from 1 species
GGCUGCAGAAUUUAUAACUGUACAAAGGUAGCAUAAUAAUUUGUUUUUUAAUUAAAAACUAGUAUGAAUGAUUAAAUGAAAUAUAAACUGUUUCAAUUAAAUAAAAAUUUAAAUUUUUAUUUAAGUUAAAAAACUUAAAUAAAUUUAAAAGACGACAAGACCCUAUAGAAUUUUAUUUAUUUUUUUAUAUUAAAAUUUAAUUAAUUUAUUUAAAUUAAAAAAAUAAAUUUAAUUGGGGUAAUUUAAAAAUUUAAAAAAUUUUUUUUUUAUAAAACAUUAAUUAUUGAAUAAUUUAUUUUAAAAUUUAAUAUAAUAAAAAUAAUAACCUUAGGGAUAACAGCAUAAUUUUUUUUUAUAUAUCUAAUU